CGAGCAACAGAAAAGACACAUGAAGUGAGAAGGGGUUCGUCGGUUCGUCGGUUUGUCGGUUUGUUGGUGUUUUUGUUUGUGUUUAUUUUUAAUUGUAACGGAUUUAAGUGGUACACGCCGGGCCUCGGGGUGUGGCGUUUGGCCUAAUCCUCCUUUGAGCUGUACAUAACUCUGAUUAAGCACUCACACACACUCUCACACACUCUCACACACACACACACACACACACACACACACACACACACACACUGCAGGCCAACAGCCGAGAGCGGGGAAGUUAUUUUGAGAUUUAAAAAUGUAUCCUCGGUUGCCAGAAAUCGGUUCUUACUUUGCUUUUCGGCAGCAAAACAACCGUCAGUCAUCUCCUCAUCUCCGUGUGUGUGUGUGUGUGUGUGUGUGUGUGUGUUUAUUUUAGAGCGUGUUCUAAAUUAAUUGCUUUAAAAAAAAAAAAAACAUAAAAAGAAAGCUUAAAGGUACGUGUGUUAAUCCAAGAGGAUUUAUAUUUGAACUAUUUAAAAAAAAAAAAGGUUAAUAUUCAUCUGUAGAAAUAUAAUAAAUUUAUAAUAAAUAAAUAUAAUGUUGUAUAGCAGCAAGUAGAUAUGGUUACAGAUGUUUAAUAUACGUCUGAUAAUAAAUGUGUCACAGUUCGGUUCUGUCGUCCUGCCGGCUUCUUCGUUCACGGUUCCUCCCGUUUAGCGCUCCACUUGUCCUUAUAUGGUCGCUGUUUCCUGUUCUGGUGUGCUUGUUACUUUACCAGUGUCACCUGUGGCGUGUUCCCUUUAACGGGUUUCUCCGUUUAAGCUCUCGGUGUGGCGUUAUGGUGUUACGGUGCGAGCCGUGUGUUGCUUUCGUAGCUGUGUUUAGAGUUUCCUUUUCCUUUUCUGUCCACGCUGGAGUUCAAGAACAAACAAAUGAGCAGGAGGUGGAUUUCAAUCGGCGAGAUGUUCCUGCGUUCCUCGUUUAACAAAAACAGAAACGCUUGAGCAGUGUGACUAGUGUACUAACGAAACAUUUACCCACAAUUCCUCUCUUUCUUUCUUUCUUUCCUUGGGUUCUUCUAGUUAUUUUGUUCGUGCUUUCAUUCCGUUCUUUCAUUCGAAUUAUUCCGUCAUUGCGUUCUUUCUUUUCUUCAUUUGCGCGGUUCUCGUUCGGUUCCUUCACUCGGGUUUCUCAUUUACUUUGUUCUUCCGUCGCUUCUUUCUUUUGUUCAUUCGCUCAGUUCUUUCUUUCAGUUCUUUGGCGGUCGUACAGUAGAGUGGUGAGUGUUUAUGACCCCACUGACCCCGGUGUCACAUGUAGACAUUUUAGAGAUAAACACCAAGGGCGAUUGUCGUGUGUGUGUGUGUGUGUGUGUGUGUGUGUGUGUGUGUGUGUGGCCAUAUGGUGUGUGUCCUUGUGUUGUAGCUUAAAGGUGAAGUUUCCCUGUAGAACGUCGAGCGUUUACUGCACUCUGCUAUUUAUUCACAUUCACUGUUCCCUCAGACCAACGACAACAAACACCAUUACCACCAACACCACAUCACUAUUACCACCAUUACCACCAAACAACACCAUUACUGCCAAACACCACCAUUACCGCCAUUACCACCAAA
ensembl:lncRNA